AUUUUCAUAUUCCAGGUAUUCCUCAUAAAACAUGUUUGUGACAUGAGGCCAUUGCAUUUUUAAAAAAAAAUUUCAUACAUUUUAAGAAAUUGCAGCUUUUGUAUCACUACCCCACUUUUCCAUGAGCGGGGUCAAAAAUGACCCCAAACAUUUCCUAUGGAAUCUCAGGGCUUAACUCUAGGAACCUUUGAUACUUAUCAACUGUGAUUGUCAGUAUACAUUUACUGUUGCACUUACACAUCUGAUGCUGCAGUCUCACCACCCAGGAGGUCAUUUUUACACAGCAACAUAGUAUCAUGGCUGCUAGGAGGCCAACCAGGAUUCCUGAGGCACUUGCACUACAUUUUGACAUUUUUUGAUUUUUGAUUGAUUGUUUUGUAAUGAAAUGUGAAUAAAAAGUAAUAAAUGAACAUGUCAAAAAUGAAA